rnacentral:rRNA from 1 species
AGCGAACGCUGGCGGCAGGCCUAACACAUGCAAGUCGAACGAACCUUUCGGGGUUAGUGGCGGACGGGGGAGUAACACGUGGGAACGUGCCCUUAGGUUCGGAAUAACUCAGGGAAACUUGUGCUAAUACCGAAUGUGCCCUUCGGGGGAAAGAUCUAUCGCCUUUAGAGCGGCCCGCGUCUGAUUAGCUAGUUGGUUGAGGUAAUGGCUCACCAAGGCGACGUUCAGUAGCUGGUCUGUGAGGAUGAUCAGCCACAUUGGGACUGAGACACGGCCCACACUCCUACGGGAGGCAGCAGUGGGGAAUCUUGCGCAAUGGGCGAAAGCCUGACGCAGCCAUGCCGCGUGAAUGAUGAAGGUCUUAGGAUUGUAAAAUUCUUUCACCGGGGACGAUAAUGACGGUACCCGGUGAAGAAGCCCCGGCUAACUUCGUG